GCCAAGGGCCACCCGAGACGGUCCCCAGAGAGCCACCGGAGGAGCAACUCACCUGAGCGCCGGAGCCCCGGCUCGCCCGUGUGCAGAGGUAGCGAGCCCAACCCUUGCGUCCUCCCGGGCUGCGUCUCCCCGACGGUGCCCUCCGUGGAAACUUCAGCCUCUCCGGGCUUCUCUUUGCUAGUGCAUUAUCGAAGAGUGGACAGGCCAAAAUCUCAUCAAGUUCGAACCUCUGGUACAAUAAGGCGAACCUCUUCUUUGGAUACGACCUUAUCUCACAGGACAGUGGCCACGAGAUCCUCAUGUUCAUUACCCUUCAUGCAUGAAAGAUAAAGCUACUCAGUUCCAGAAAUGACGUCUGCUGAAGGGAGAACAUGUUCUAGCAAUGAAAUCUUCAAAAGACUCCUGCUGCUGCUCUGUGACUGGGACCCCCAGGUUGUCUUUGGAAGUUUCUAAGGCCUCCUGAGUAGAGACUGGGACAUGGAAGGAGUCGAGAGGCAAAGGAAGCCCAGCAUCACCUGUAAUUUUCUGAAACUGGAGGGAAAGACAAAAGACAAGACAAAAAUUCAGUGAUGAACAAAGCCAACCAUUAAAAAGUAGAGUUCAAAACGUCAA